UACGGGGGGUGCGAGCGUUGUCCGGAAUCACUGGGCGUAAAGGGUGCGUAGGUGGCGGGGUAAGUCGGAUGUGAAAUCUCGGAGCUCAACUCCGAAAUGGCAUUGGAAACUACCCUGCUAGAGGGUCGGAGGGGGGACUGGAAUACUUGGUGUAGCAGUGAAAUGCGUAGAUAUCAAGUGGAACACCAGUGGCGAAGGCGAGUCCCUGGACGACUCCUGACACUGAGGCACGAAAGCUAGGGGAGCAAACAGG
rnacentral:rRNA from 1 species